rnacentral:rRNA from 1 species
AGCAGCCGCGGUAAUUCCAGCUCCAAUAGCGUAUAUUAAAGUUGUUGCAGUUAAAAAGCUCGUAGUUGAAUUUCGGGAUCAGUAGGUCGGUCAUGCCUCAGGUAUGUACUGGUCUCACUGGUUCCUCCUUCCUGAUGAACCGUAAUGCCAUUAAUUUGGUGUUGCGGGGAAACUGGACUGUUAACUUUGAAAAAUUAGAGUGUUUAAAGCAGGCUAACGCUUGAAUACAUUAGCAUGGAAUAAUGAAAUAGGACGUUCGAUCCUAUUUUGUUGGUUUCUAGGAUUGACGUAAUGAUUAAUAGGGAUAGUUGGGGGCAUUAGUAUUCAAUUGUCAGAGGUGAAAUUCUUGGAUUUAUUGAAGACUAACUACUGCGAAAGCAUUUGCCAAGGAUGUUUUCAUUAAUCAAGAACGAAAGUUAGGGGAUCGAAGACGAUCAGAUACCGUCGUAG